rnacentral:rRNA from 1 species
CCUGGCUCCGUAUGAGCGCUAGCUACAGGCUUAACACAUGCAAGUCGAGGGGCAGCAUUUCAGUUUGCUUGCAAACUGGAGAUGGCGACCGGCGCACGGGUGAGUAACACGUAUCCAACCUGCCGAUAACUCGGGGAUAGCCUUUCGAAAGAAAGAUUAAUACCCGAUGGCAUAAUUAGACCGCAUGGUCUUAUUAUUAAAGAAUUUCGGUUAUCGAUGGGGAUGCGUUCCAUUAGGCAGUUGGUGAGGUAACGGCUCACCAAACCUUCGAUGGAUAGGGGUUCUGAGAGGAAGGUCCCCCACAUUGGAACUGAGACACGGUCCAAACUCCUACGGGAGGCAGCAGUGAGGAAUAUUGGUCAAUGGGCGCAGGCCUGAACCAGCCAAGUAGCGUGAAGGAUGACUGCCCUAUGGGUUGUAAACUUCUUUUAUAUGGGAAUAAAGUUUUCCACGUGUGGAAUUUUGUAUGUACCAUAUGAAUAAGGAUCGGCUAACUCCGUGCCAGCAGCCGCGGUAAUACGGAGGAUCCGAGCGUUAUCCGGAUUUAUUGGGUUUAAAGGGAGCGUAGGUGGAUAGUUAAGUCAGUUGUGAAAGUUUGCGGCUCAACCGUAAAAUUGCAGUUGAUACUGGCUGUCUUGAGUACAGUAGAGGUGGGCGGAAUUCGUGGUGUAGCGGUGAAAUGCUUAGAUAUCACGAAGAACUCCGAUUGCGAAGGCAGCUCACUGGACUGCAACUGACACUGAUGCUCGAAAGUGUGGGUAUCAAACAGGAUUAGAUACCCUGGUAGUCCACACAGUAAACGAUGAAUACUCGCUGUUUGCGAUAUACAGUAAGCGGCCAAGCGAAAGCAUUAAGUAUUCCACCUGGGGAGUACGCCGGCAACGGUGAAACUCAAAGGAAUUGACGGGGGCCCGCACAAGCGGAGGAACAUGUGGUUUAAUUCGAUGAUACGCGAGGAACCUUACCCGGGCUUAAAUUGCAUUUGAAUAAUCUGGAAACAGGUUAGCCGUAAGGCAAAUGUGAAGGUGCUGCAUGGUUGUCGUCAGCUCGUGCCGUGAGGUGUCGGCUUAAGUGCCAUAACGAGCGCAACCCUUAUCUUUAGUUACUAACAGGUUAUGCUGAGGACUCUAGAGAGACUGCCGUCGUAAGAUGUGAGGAAGGUGGGGAUGACGUCAAAUCAGCACGGCCCUUACGUCCGGGGCUACACACGUGUUACAAUGGGGGGUACAGAAGGCAGCUACCUGGUGACAGGAUGCUAAUCCCAAAAGCCUCUCUCAGUUCGGAUCGAAGUCUGCAACCCGACUUCGUGAAGCUGGAUUCGCUAGUAAUCGCGCAUCAGCCAUGGCGCGGUGAAUACGUUCCCGGGCCUUGUACACACCGCCCG